rnacentral:rRNA from 1 species
UCCUUCGGGAUGGUCAGUGGAGUGGCGCACGGGUGAGUAACACGUAGGUAAUCUGCCUUCGGGUGGGGAAUAACUCAGGGAAACUUGAGCUAAUACCGCAUAAUGCAGCGGCACCACAUGGUGACAGUUGUUAAAGCGGGGGAUCAUUCGACCUCGCGCCUGAAGAGGAGCCUGCGGCGGAUUAGGUAGUUGGUGAGGUAAUGGCUCACCAAGCCUGCGAUCCGUAGCCGGCCUGAGAGGGCGGUCGGCCACACUGACACUGACAUACGGGUCAGACUCCUACGGGAGGCAGCAGUCGGGAAUUUUGGGCAAUGGGCGCAAGCCUGACCCAGCAACGCCGCGUGAAGGAUGAAGUUUUUCGGAAUGUAAACUUCACAAGAAUGGGACGAAGAGAGAAGGGCUAACAUCCCUUUGAUUUGACGGUACCAUUUGUAAGCUCCGGCUAACUCCGUGCCAGCAGCCGCGGUAAUACGGGGGGAGCAAGCGUUGUUCGGAUUUACUGGGCGUAAAGGGCGCGUAGGCGGCACGACAAGUCGCUUGUGAAAUCUCCGAGCUUAACUCGGAGCGGCCAAGCGAUACUGUCGCGCUAGAGUGCGGAAGGGGCAACUGGAAUUCUCGGUGUAGCGGUGAAAUGCGUAGAUAUCGAGAGGAACACCUGCGGCGAAAGCGGGUUGCUGGGCCGACACUGACGCUGAUGCGCG